rnacentral:rRNA from 1 species
CAGCCGCCGCGGUAAUACGUAGGGUGCGAGCGUUAAUCGGAAUUACUGGGCGUAAAGCGUGCGCAGGCGGUUCGUUAAGACAGAUGUGAAAUCCCCGGGCUUAACCUGGGAACUGCAUUUGUGACUGGCGAGCUAGAGUAUGGCAGAGGGGGGUAGAAUUCCACGCGUAGCAGUGAAAUGCGUAGAGAUGUGGAGGAAUACCGAUGGCGAAGGCAGCCCCCUGGGCCAAUACUGACGCUCAUGCACGAAAGCGUGGGGAGCAAACAGGAUUAGAUACCCCCGUAGUCCCUGUCUCUUAUAC